GCUGGGGGCACAAACCAGGGGGUGGCGACUGUUUACUAAAAACACAGGGCUCUGCGAAGCCGUAAGGCGACGUAUAGGGUCUGACGCCUGCCCGGUGCCGGAAGGUUAAAAGGAGAGGUGCAAGCCUUGAAUUGAAGCCCCGGUAAACGGCGGCCGUAACUAUAACGGUCCUAAGGUAGCGAAAUUCCUUGUCGGGUAAGUUCCGACCUGCACGAAUGGCGUAACGACUUCCCCGCUGUCUCAAAUGUGGACUCAGCGAAAUUGAAUUGUCUGUGAAGAUGCAGACUUCCCGCGGUUAGACGGAAAGACCCCAUGCACCUUUACUAUAGCUUCGCACUGGCAUCAGGAUUGUGAUGUGCAGGAUAGGUGGUAGGCAUUGAAACCGGGACGCCAGUUCCGGUGGAGCCAUCCUUGAGAUACCACCCUUCGCACUCUUGAUGUCUAACCGCGGCCCGUUAUCCGGGUCCGGGACCCUGCGUGGUGGGUAGUUUGACUGGGGCGGUCGCCUCCCAAAGAGUAACGGAGGCGCGCGAAGGUUGGCUCAGAGCGGUCGGAAAUCGCUCGUUGAGUGCAAUGGCAGAAGCCAGCCUGACUGCAAGACUGACAAGUCGAGCAGAGACGAAAGUCGGCCAUAGUGAUCCGGUGGUCCCGAGUGGAAGGGCCAUCGCUCAACGGAUAAAAGGUACGCUGGGGAUAACAGGCUGAUGAUGCCCAAGAGUCCAUAUCGACGGCAUCGUUUGGCACCUCGAUGUCGGCUCAUCUCAUCCUGGGGCUGGAGCAGGUCCCAAGGGUAUGGCUGUUCGCCAUUUAAAGAGGUACGUGAGCUGGGUUUAGAACGUCGUGAGACAGUUCGGUCCCUAUCUGCCGUGGGUGUAGGAUACUUGAGAGGAGUUGCCCCUAGUACGAGAGGACCGGGGUGAACGUUCCACUGGUGGACCAGUUGUCGUGCCAACGGCAGUGCUGGGUAGCUAUGAACGGACAGGAUAAACGCUGAAGGCAUCUAAGCGUGAAGCCCCCCUCAAAACAAGGUAUCCCUUGAGAGCCGUGGAAGACCACCACGUCGAUAGGCCGGAGAUGUAAGCGCAGCAAUGCGUUCAGUUGACCGGUACUAAUGGCUCGAUUGGCUUGAUUUGAUCCGG
rnacentral:rRNA from 1 species